GACAAACGCUGGCGGCGUGCCUAAUGCAUGCAAGUCGGACGGUUUUUGUGGCCCUUCGGGGCUGCAAGAAUAGUGGCGGACGGCUGAGUAACGCGUGAGUAACCUGCCCUUGGGUGGGGGACAACCCCGAGAAAUCGGGGCUAAUACCGCAUACGUUCUUCAGGUCUUGAUCUGGAGGGGAAAGCCGCAAGGCGCCCGAGGAUGGGCUCGCGUCCUAUCAGGUAGUUGGUGGGGUAACGGCUUACCAAGCCGAUGACGGGUAGCUGGUCUGAGAGGACGACCAGCCAGAGGGGGACUGAGACACGGCCCCCACUCCUACGGGAGGCAGCAGCAGGGAAUCUUGGGCAAUGGGCGCAAGCCUGACCCAGCGACGCCGCGUGGGGGACGAAGGCCUUCGGGUCGUAAACCCCUUUUCCAGGGGAAGAGAAAGGACGGUACCCUGGGAAUAAGCCUCGGCUAACUACGUGCCAGCAGCCGCGGUAAUACGUAGGAGGCGAGCGUUGUCCGGAUUUACUGGGCGUAAAGGGCGUGUAGGCGGCCGGGCAAGUCCCCUGUGAAAUCUCCCGGCUCAACCGGGAUAGGUCAGAGGAUACUACCUGGCUUGAGGACAGCAGAGGAGGGUGGAAUUCCCGGUGUAGCGGUGGCAUGCGUAGAUAUCGGGAAGAACACCAGUGGCGAAGGCGGCCCUCUGGGCUGUACCUGACGCUGAGGCGCGAAACCGUGGGGAGCGAACCGGAUUAGAUACCCGGGUAGUCCACGGCCUAAACGAUGGACGCUAGGUAUGGGGGGUAUCGACCCCCUCCGUGCCGAAGCUAACGCGUUAAGCGUCCCGCCUGGGGAGUACGGCCGCAAGGCUAAAACUCAAAGGAAUUGACGGGGCCCCGCACAAGCGGUGGAGCGUGUGGUUUAAUUCGAUGCUAAGCGAAGAACCUUACCAGGGUUUGACAUGUGGGUGGUAGGGACCCGAAAGGGCGACGACCUCGAUUCGUCGAGGAGCCUACACAGGUGCUGCAUGGCUGUCGUCAGCUCGUGCCGUGAGGUGUUGGGUUAAGUCCCGCAACGAGCGCAACCCCUGCCGUUAGUUGUUUUCUCUAGCGGUACUGCCCCCCACAAGGGGGAGGAAGGUGGGGAUGACGUCAAGUCAGCAUGGCCCUUACACCCUGGGCUACACACACGCUACAAUGGUCGGUACAAUGGGUUGCCAAGGCGCGAGCCGGAGCCAAUCCCACCAAAGCCGGCCCCAGUUGGGAUUGCAGGCUGAAACCCGCCUGCAUGAACGCGGAAUCGCUAGUAACCGCAGGUCAGCACACUGCGGUGAAUACGUUCCCGGGGCUUGUACACACCGCCCGUCACGUCAUGGAAGCUGACAACACUUGAAGUCGCCGAGCUAACCCGCAAGGGAGGCAGGUGCCGAGGGUGGGGUCAGUGACUGGGACG
rnacentral:rRNA from 1 species